AACUUUCAACAACGGAUCUCUUGGUUCUGGCAUCGAUGAAGAACGCAGCGAAAUGCGAUAAGUAAUGCGAAUUGCAGAAUCCGUGAGUCAUCGAAUCUUUGAACGCACAUUGCGCCCUUUGGUAUUCCGAAGGGCAUGCCUGUUCGAGCGUCAUUAU
rnacentral:rRNA from 3 species